rnacentral:rRNA from 1 species
GACGAACGCUGGCGGCGUGCCUAAUACAUGCAAGUAGAACGCAGUUGCGAACAGGUGAGUAACGCGUAGGUUACUGCCUUAUAGCGGGGGAUAACUUUUGGAAACGAUAGCUAAUACCGCAUACUGUGAGAUGGACCUGCGUUGUAUUAGCUAGUGGGUGGGGUAAAGGCUCACCAAGGCGACGAUACAUAGCCGGCCUGAGAGGGGGAUCGACCAACCGUGGACUGAGGAACGGCCCAGACUCCUUAGGGAGGAAGCAGUAGGGGAGCUUCGGCAAGUGACGGAAGGCUGACCGAGGAACGCCGGGGGAGUGAAGAAGGGUCUCGGAGCGGAAAGCUCUGUUGUGAGAGAAGCGGUAACUAACGAGAAAGGGACGGCUAACUACGUGCCAGCCGCCGCGGUAAUUC